UACGGGGGGGGCAAGCGUUGUUCGGAAUUACUGGGCGUAAAGGGCUCGUAGGCGGCCAACUAAGUCAGACGUGAAAUCCCCAGGCUUAACCUGGGAACUGCGUCUGAUACUGGAUGGCUUGAAUUCGGGAGAGGGAUGCAGAAUUCCAGGUGUAGCGGUGAAAUGCGUAGAUAUCUGGAGGAACACCGGUGGCGAAGGCGGCAUCCUGGACCGGCAUUGACGCUGAGGAGCGAAAGCCAGGGGAGCAAACGGG
rnacentral:rRNA from 1 species